ensembl:lncRNA
AAUGAGUCAGGGCUUUGGCAGUGUGCCAUGAGCUGAUCACACUCACUCACGUGAGAGCGACCUGCAUUCCAUUGCAUGUCUACAGACAAAGGAAUUCUCCAGUUGAAACAUUAUUGAAGAUUUAUGAUAAAAACAUCCUAAAGAUUGAUUCUAUACUUCGUUUGACAUGUUUCUUCAAACUGUAAAAUCACCGGAUGUUUUGGAAGCAAAACUGAACGUAACGUGCCAAUGUAAACUGAGAUUUUUGGAUAUAAAUAUGAACCUUAUCGAACAAAACAUACAUGUAUUGUGUAACAUGAAGUCCUAUGAGUGUCAUCUGAUGAAGAUCAUCAAAGGGGGCAGCAGUGAGCUGAAGAGUUUCUUCUCGAGAGGCUCUGCUGAAUUGAAGAGUGAAAUGAGGAGACACAGAGAGCUUGCAUCCAAAGCAGAGUCCUGUCUCAGAGUGGAUGAUGCUGGCCAGAGUUGUUUGCAAGGUAUUGUCUGGCAGCUCCUCUGAUUUGAUGAAAUCCAUAAUGGCCUUAUAAAAGUUACCGAGGGCAACUGGAAUAGCUACUCUCUCCUCUUCCUCGGAGAUGGCCGGUUGAUGAAUAUAGAACCCAAGCUGUCAGUUGUGAGGCGGAGAGACGUCUCGGAGGUUGCCUGUCAGUCAUUGGGGGAACGUGUCAGAAAGUGAAAAGGCAGCGUUAAGACGUCAGACACAUUUACAUUGAGCCCUGUCUGCUGGAGAAAGCCUCUCCCUCACCAGUGACCAAUGUUGAUUCUACAAUAACGGCCGCGACGCAGCGCUGCAAAAAUCUUUUUCUUUCAGCGAGCGAACCCCCUCGUCCUAUUAGACCUGAUGCUGUGUGAAAUCCACCCUCACCAUUUCCUCUAGCUACCUGGAAAAGUAAAGAAACAUGAAUAUGGGCUCCGAGGAGAGGCUACAAUAUUCACGUACGUGUACACACACUCAGGCACACACUUCAGUCUCCGGCUCUUUAUUUGUCUGUGCCUGGGAAGGCCGAGGCCUCUUGCAGCCCAAGCGACCUAAGCAACAGCUGGUGUGCACAGACACAUUUCCUAUUUCUGCCCAAGGUGGAUCAUAUAACUCUCACUUUAUCACCCUUGGAGGCCAUGUGAAGGACAAAAUGAGCACGCCCAUAAACAAAACUAAUGUUUUCAUACUGGCCCUCUGGAGGUGGUAGAAGGGGC